GGAUACGGUCAUACCAGCACUAAAGCACCGGAUCCCAUCAGAACUCCGAACUUAAGCGUGCUGGGCGAGAGUAGUAGUAGGAUGGGUGACCUCCUGGGAAGUCCUCGUGUUGUAUUUU
rnacentral:rRNA from 1 species